ACAUACGACCAUAGGAAGUGGAAAAUAGGGCUUCCCGUCCGCUCAGCCGUACUCAAGCCACUUGCCGGUCAGUUAGUAGUAUGGUGGGUGACCACAUGCGAAUCCUGACUGUUGUAUGUA
rfam:Aspergillus rambellii strain SRRC1468 contig00051, whole genome shotgun sequence.